rnacentral:rRNA from 1 species
UACGUGGGGAGCAAGCGUUGUUCGGAUUUACUGGGCGUAAAGGGCGCGUAGGCGGUCGUGACAAGUCACUUGUGAAAUCUCCGGGCUUAACUCGGAAAGGUCAACUGAUACUGUGCGACUAGAGUGCAGAAGGGGCAACUGGAAUUCUCGGUGUAGCGGUGAAAUGCGUAGAUAUCGAGAGGAACACCUGCGGCGAAGGCGGGUUGCUGGGCUGACACUGACGCUGAGGCGCGAAAGCCAGGGGAGCGAACGGG